GAUGAACGCUGGCGGCGUGCCUAAUACAUGCAAGUCGAGCGAACAGACGAGGAGCUUGCUCCUCUGACGUUAGCGGCGGACGGGUGAGUAACACGUGGAUAACCUACCUAUAAGACUGGGAUAACUUCGGGAAACCGGAGCUAAUACCGGAUAAUAUAUUGAACCGCAUGGUUCAAUAGUGAAAGACGGUUUUGCUGUCACUUAUAGAUGGAUCCGCGCCGCAUUAGCUAGUUGGUAAGGUAACGGCUUACCAAGGCGACGAUGCGUAGCCGACCUGAGAGGGUGAUCGGCCACACUGGAACUGAGACACGGUCCAGACUCCUACGGGAGGCAGCAGUAGGGAAUCUUCCGCAAUGGGCGAAAGCCUGCCGGAGCAACGCCGCGUGAGUGAUGAAGGUCUUCGGAUCGUAAAACUCUGUUAUUGGGAAGAACAAAUGUGUAAGUAACUAUGCACGUCUUGACGGUACCUAAUCAGAAAGCCACGGCUAACUACGUG
rnacentral:rRNA from 1 species